rnacentral:rRNA from 1 species
UACGUAGGGGGCGAGCGUUGUCCGGAAUUAUUGGGCGUAAAGAGCGUGUAGGCGGUUCGGUAAGUCUGCCGUGAAAACCGUGGGGCUCAACCCUGGGCGUGCGGUGGAUACUGCCGGGCUAGAGGGUGGUAGAGGCGAGUGGAAUUCCCGGUGUAGCGGUGAAAUGCGCAGAUAUCGGGAGGAACACCAGUAGCGAAGGCGGCUCACUGGCCCGGUACUGACGCUGAGGCACGAAAGCGUGGGGAGCAAACAGG